CUAGUUGGUGAGGUAAAGGCUUACCAAGGCGACGAUCAGUAGCUGGUCUGAGAGGACGACCAGCCACACUGGGACUGAGACACGGCCCAGACUCCUACGGGAGGCAGCAGUGGGGAAUUUUGGACAAUGAGGGAAACCCUGACCCAGCCAUGCCGCGUGAGUGAAGAAGGCCUUCGGGUUGUAAAGCUCUUUCAGCCGGAACGAAACAGUCACGGAUAAUACCCGUGACUACUGACGGUACCGGAAGAAGAAGCACCGGCUAACUACGUGCCAGCAGCCGCGGUAAUAUUUAGGGUGCGAGCGUUAAUCGGAAUUACUGGGCGUAAAGCGUGCGCAGGCGGUUUUGUAAGUCAGAUGUGAAAUCCCCGGGCUUAACCUGGGAACUGCGUUUGAAACUACAAAGCUAGAAGGG
rnacentral:rRNA from 1 species